UGAGGAAUAUUGGACAAUGGGGGAAACCCUGAUCUAGCCAUGCCGCGUGAGUGACGAAGGCCUUAGGGUCGUAAAGCUCUUUCGCCAGGGAUGAUAAUGACAGUACCUGGUAAAGAAACCCCGGCUAACUCCGUGCCAGCAGCCGCGGUAAUACGGAGGGGGUUAGCGUUGUUCGGAAUUACUGGGCGUAAAGCGCACGUAGGCGGACUAUUAAGUCAGGGGUGAAAUCCCGGGGCUCAACCCCGGAACUGCCUUUGAUACUGGUAGUCUUGAGUUCGAGAGAGGUGAGUGGAAUUCCGAGUGUAGAGGUGAAAUUCGUAGAUAUUCGGAGGAACACCAGUGGCGAAGGCGGCUCACUGGCUCGAUACUGACGCUGAGGUGCGAAAGCGUGGGGAGCAAACAGGAUUAGAUACCCGUGUAGUCC
rnacentral:rRNA from 1 species